rnacentral:lncRNA from 1 species
UUUCUUCUCCAGGUAGAGUAGUAUUUUGCCCAUAACAAAAUUAUAAAAAAAAGGUAACACGAGAUGUAGAUGUGCCCAACUACUGCCUACUGGAGCUAAAUUGCGAAGAAGCUCUCUUUAUUACCUCCCAAAAGAUAAAUUUUAGAGAGUGAAAGAGAGCCUUUUGGGUACUUCAACGAGUCUGAUUCUAAAUCCAUAGUCGUCUGGGUCUGGGUGAUGAAGGAAUUGAAGAUGAUGAUGGUAAUGAUGAUAUGUUGAUGGUGCCGUUGUGGUGGUCUGGCUGUGGAAAUCGAAAAGAAGGGAGAGGAGCAAAAGGGUUAUGAUCGAUUUGGGAAUCUGGAAAGUGAAGGGAAAGAGGGAUAUAAUAGGAAUUUUGUAAUAUUAAAGAGGUUAUUUUUGUUCAAAAAUAGUCAAUUUCGUUCAGAUCCACGUUCAGAUCCACCUCUGAAUAGUAUAGAUUUAUAUUUGUCUUUUACUGAUUAAGAGGCAUUAAGAGAC